rnacentral:rRNA from 1 species
AUACCGAGGGUGCAAGCGUUAAUCGGAUUUACUGGGCGUAAAGCGCGCGUAGGCGGCUAAUUAAGUCAAAUGUGAAAUCCCCGAGCUUAACUUGGGAAUUGCAUUCGAUACUGGUUAGCUAGAGUGUGGGAGAGGAUGGUAGAAUUCCAGGUGUAGCGGUGAAAUGCGUAGAGAUCUGGAGGAAUACCGAUGGGGAAGGCAGCCAUCUGGCCUAACACUGACGCUGAGGUGCGAAAGCAUGGGGAGCAAACAGGAUUAGAUACCCCAGUAGUCC